rnacentral:rRNA from 1 species
UACGUAGGGGGCAAGCGUUGUCCGGAAUUAUUGGGCGUAAAGCGCGCGCAGGCGGUCAUUUAAGUCUGGUGUUUAAUCCUGGGGCUCAACCCCAGUUCGCAUCGGAAACUGGAUGACUUGAGUGUAGGAGAGGAAGGUGGAAUUCCACGUGUAGCGGUGAAAUGCGUAGAGAUGUGGAGGAACACCGAUGGCGAAGGCAGCCUUCUGGGCCAACACUGACGCUCAUGCACGAAAGCGUGGGGAGCAAACAGG